AUAACACCUGUACGGAUAUAGAUGGAUAUUACGGACGAAAUGAUAAACAAGCAUUUUUUUUUUUUUUACACAAAUAAAAUGGUUUAUUUUUUUUUCUGUUUAAAAUAUUACAUGCUAAACAAAAGUUCUAUCUAUAUAAAUAAUUAAAAUAUUUUUUUUUAAACGGUUUAACACUAAUGGUUAUUUUUCCUUUUUUCGUAACAAUAUUUCGAAUAAUAUAAUAAUAAUAUACUUUUUUUUUUCUUUUUUCAAUAUUGUAUAACAUAAAUAAUAUAUAUAUAUUAUAUGUAAAAGAGAAAAACUUAAAAAGACAUCAGCCUUAUUAUUUAUUUUUUUAAUAUAAAUAUAUUAACAUAACUUUUUUUUUUUUUUACAAAAAAAACGGCGAUUUCGCUCUAAACGCCAACCUGGUAAUAUUAUAAUAAUAAUAAUGAUAAUAAUUACAUGUAUGGAACACAAAAAAAAAAAAAAUAAAGGGAGAAUUAUUUUAUAACGUUAAUUAUUACUGGAAGAUUUUACGUACAUCCCGUACAAGUCUCUUGAUAAAACACGACAAAAAUAUUAUAAUAAAAAAAAAAUAAUUCAAGACAAAAUAUUACGUUUUUAUAUAGGUAGUAAACAAUAAUAAUAAAAAUAAUUAUAGUUAUUAUAAUAAUAAUAAUAAUAAUAAUAAUAAUAAUAAUAAUAAUAAUAAUAAUAAUAAUAAUAAUAAUAGAUUGACAUAAUAUCACAAACAAUGUAUAUAUAUAACUCUAGGACAUAUUCAGAAUUGCUCGUUAAAAAUGAUGUUUUUUUU